GACGAACGCUGGCGGCGUGCUUAACACAUGCAAGUCGAACGGAAAGGCCCUGCUUUUGUGGGGUGCUCGAGUGGCGAACGGGUGAGUAACACGUGAGUAACCUGCCCUUGACUUUGGGAUAACUUCAGGAAACUGGGGCUAAUACCGGAUAGGAGCUCCUGCUGCAUGGUGGGGGUUGGAAAGUUUCGGCGGUUGGGGAUGGACUCGCGGCCUAUCAGCUUGUUGGUGGGGUAGUGGCUUACCAAGGCUUUGACGGGUAGCCGGCCUGAGAGGGUGACCGGCCACAUUGGGACUGAGAUACGGCCCCGACUCCUACGGGAGGCAGCAGUGGGGAAUAUUGCACAAUGGGCGGAAGCCUGAUGCAGCAACGCCGCGUGCGGGAUGACGGCCUUCGGGUUGUAAACCGCUUUCGCCUGUGACGAAGCGUGAGUGACGGUAAUGGGUAAAGAAGCACCGGCUAACUACGUG
rnacentral:rRNA from 1 species